UACGGAGGGUGCAAGCGUUAUCCGGAAUCACUGGGUUUAAAGGGUGCGUAGGCGGUUAUGUAAGUCAGGGGUGAAAGGUCACAGCUUAACUGUGAGAUUGCCUUUGAAACUGUGUAACUUGAAUCAGAUAGAGGUUAGUGGAAUGCGACAUGUAGCGGUGAAAUGCAUAGAUAUGUCGUGGAAUACCGAUUGCGAAGGCAGCUAACUGGGUCUUGAUUGACGCUGAGGCACGAAAGCGUGGGGAGCGAACAGGAUUAGA
rnacentral:rRNA from 1 species